UGGCAGAAUACGUUUGGCAAUAAAGAAUUUUUGUUAUGAGAUUAGCACAACUGCUUUAAUAUGUACUUGAUUCCAAAAGUUCUUAGUGAGAAAGCAGUAUAAACAGUGGAAGUAAUUGCAAUGAGUCAGAUUAACCAGGACAAGCUGGUUAGGGAUUACAAGAGAAUAACAGUUAGAAGAGUUAAGAAAUUCGAAACAUUAAAAUUUUUAAAAGAGUGUAGACUAAACAAAGUAUACCCGUCCUCUAUACAUAAGAUUCAGUUACCAAUAAACUCGAAGAAGAUUCUUCAGAAUGUUAAGAAAACCUGUUUGACGGCAGCAAUAAAAGAUGCAAAGAAGGCAUUUUAUAAUGUAAUAAAGAAAGAGAGGUGCGGAGGAUGCAGGAAUCCCGUAUGAAGUUAUGCUAGAAGUUGUUGAAAGGGCAUAGAGAAUUAAGACGUUGGUGAGAAAUAAGAAAAUAAGAAAACUGAAGUGGAUAUUAAGGAACCAGAAUGUCUACCCAAGACCAAUGUGUGUUAACUUAGAGGACUCUUUGACGAUAAUAGGAGAUAUCCACAUACCGAACUUCGUAAGAGAGCUUUUACAGAAAGGGCCAUCUUGUAUGGUGCUUGCACCGGAAGAACCGUUAGGAGAAAUCUCGUACAUAGAAGACCUGUUAUCGAACAUAGAGGAGGAUGAAACCCAAAAACAGAAAUUCAGAUGGAGAUUUGUAUGAGAAUGGGAAAACACGUAUAGAAAGAUGAGAGAAGCACGAUACAGUAAGACGGACAGAGAACUUAUUAUAAAGACUACGAAAUGGGCACGGGAAAACAAGUUGGUCUUCACGAGAGAAGACAAGAC
rnacentral:lncRNA from 1 species